rnacentral:lncRNA from 1 species
ACAACCCAGGGGGUAAUCAGGAUGAUGGCAAUGACGACCCGGGCUACAGCUCUGGCCACACCGAUUAGUUCGGUGAAACCGAGGGCAACGUCGUUGUAGGAGUCCUAGCUUGCCGUAGUGGGGUUCGGGUUUGUAAUAUAAGUUCUCUUUCGGUUUGAGAAGUUGUACCUAUUUACUCUUGGUGUGUCGAACUAAUGUU